rnacentral:rRNA from 1 species
UACAGAGACUGCAAGCGUUAUUCGGAUUCACUGGGCGUAAAGGGUGCGCAGGCGGCCGUGUGUGUCAGGUGUGAAAGCCCGGGGCUUGACCCCGGAAUUGCGCCUGAAACUACAUGGCUAGAGCAUUGGAGAGGGUAGCGGAAUUCACGGUGUAGCAGUGAAAUGCGUAGAUAUCGUGAGGAACACCAGAGGCGAAGGCGGCUACCUGGACAAUUGCUGACGCUCAGGCACGAAAGCGUGGGGAGCAAAAGGG